rnacentral:rRNA from 1 species
GUGGGGGAUCUUCCGCAAUGGACGAAAGUCUGACGGAGCAACGCCGCGUGAGUGAAGAAGGUUUUCGGAUCGUAAAGCUCUUUCGUUAGGGACGAACGUGCUCUUUGUGAAUAAUGAGGAGUAAUGACGGUACCUAAAUAAGAAGCCACGGCUAACUACGUGCCAGCAGCCGCGGUAAUACGUAGGUGGCAAGCGUUGUCCGGAAUUAUUGGGCGUAAAGCGCGCGCAGGCGGGAUAUCACGUCUGUCUUAAAAGUGCGAGGCUCAACCUCGUGAGGGGACAGAAACUGGGAUUCUUGGGUGUCGGAGAGGAAAGUGGAAUUCCAAGUGUAGCGGUGAAAUGCGUAGAGAUUUGGAAGAACACCAGUGGCGAAGGCGACUUUCUGGACGAUGUCAGACGCUGAGGCGCGAAAGCUAGGGGAGCGAACAGGAUUAGAAACCCCUGUAGUCC